AGGUUCGGAAUAAUGGGACAGACACAUGCCUGGACUGGGCAUCUAGAAAAGACAGAGUGCUGAAGUUGUUUCCAUGCCAUCAUCAUCUAGGCAACCAGUUUUUCGAGCUAAAUCAACAGAACCAACUUCGAGACGAACAUUCCUGUUUACAAGUACGUGCCAGCGGAAAUGACGUCAUGGUUGUGCCGUGUGGAAGGUCAAAGAAUGAGCCACCACCUCUCCAGCAGUGGACGUUCACCGAUGGUGGUUUCCUCUACAACGCCGCUAGAAACAAGUGCCUACACGCCGUCCCACCCAGCCCGAGAGCCACGGGAAAAGUGACCAUGAUGCCAUGUGAUCUUAGUAACCUCCAGAAAUGGACAAUAGAGUACAUCUGGGACAAAAUGUAGUGCGACAUCAGCUUUGACUCAGCGACAAAAAAGCUGUUUAGAAUUUAACGUAUACUGGCGUGCAUUUAACACUUCAACAGCGUAAUAUGUAAAGGACUUUACAUUCUUCUAUGCAGAAAUGAAUCCACUUUGUACAACUGAGAGGAUAUCUAAGUUUAAGAACAGGAUUUGACUUUGCGUAGGAGCCGAUUGCUAAGCAUUUUUAAAGGCGUUGGUAUGUCUUUGAUUGGUUUUGAACCUGUAACCUCCUCCAAACUAAGCAAAAACUUCCCAUCACCUGUUAUACAAGUCUAUCAUUUGUAACUAAAAAUACCCCACAAGCACACAUUUUUUCCCAAGACCAUGACAAAUCGCAAAAAGUUGAGAUAGAUGUCAUGAUAGCAGCUAAUAGAAAUAAGGAAUGCCUGUUUAAUUUAAUUUCAUCCACCUACGUAGGUCAAUUCAUGUAUACUGUAUUCCAAAUGUGUGACCAGAUUACCAAAUGUGUGACCAGAUCAAUCAUACAUGACUGUGCUUGUUGUUCUGUAUGUAGCCUCGUAGUACUAUUGUCUAUAUCAAAUUGAAGAUGAUUCAGU